AGUCCAUGUUGUGGACAUUUCCGAAACAAAUCUAUAAACCUUUCUCAUGCUUCAUAUAAUAACUCUCCAUCCAAUUGACUAAAACUAGUGAUAUUCAUUCUAAGUUU